rnacentral:lncRNA from 1 species
UAUCACUGAAGAUGAGGCUCAAAAAGAUGUAGAUGGACAGGGGAAGCAAGUGAAGCAGAAUGCAAAUGUAGUUGGUGAUAGUGAGAAGGGAAUCAGUGAGCCUCAUGAUGAAAAUGUAAGUGAAGCGGUUGAAGAAAACAAGGCUCAUGCAAAAGAAGUGUUGAAGAUGGAUCAGAAAAUAAUAGUUCAUUUGAUAAAUGGAGCAACUUUUGAACAAUGCUAAGAAGCAAGUGCAGAAAAAUAUCACUGAAGAUGAGGCUCAAAAAGAUGUAGAUGGACAGGGGAAGCAAGUGAAGCAGAAUACAAAUGUAGUUGGUGAUAGUGAGUAGGGAAUCAGUGAGCCUCAUGAUGGAAAUGUAAGUGGAGGGGUUGAAGAAAACAAGGCUCAUGUUGAAGAAGAUGUUGAAGAUGGAUCAGAAAGUGAUUGUUCAUUUGAUGAAUGGAGCAACUUUGGUGAUAGUGAUGAGGAUAGUAUUAAUGAUAGUGAUUUCUGCAUUAAUACCCGCAAUGUAGAGGAGGAAGAUGG